AUACUUACCUGGCAGGGGAGAUACCAUGAUCAUGAAGUUGGUUUCUCCCAGAGAGGCUCAUCCAUUGUACUACAGAUGUGCUGACCCCUGUAAUUUCCCCAAAUGUGGAAAACUCGACUGCAUAAUUUGUGAUAGAGGGGAACUGCAUUCAUGUUCUCCCCUG